GACGAACGCUGGCGGCGUGCCUAAUACAUGCAAGUCGAACGCAGUGGGGACGGGUGAGUAACACGUGGGUAACCUCCCAUCAGAGGGGAUAACACUUGGAAACAGGUGCUAAACCGAUACUGAUGGCUGGACCCGCGGUGCAUUAGCUAGUUGGUGAGGUAACGGCUCACCAAGGCCACGAUGCAUAGCCGACCUGAGAGGGGGAUCGGCCACACGGGGACUGAGACACGGCCCAGACUCCUACGGGAGGCAGCAGUGGGGAAUAUUGGACAAUGGGCGAAAGCCUGAUCCAGCCAUGCCGCGUGUGUGAAGAAGGUCUUCGGAUUGUAAAGCACUUUCAGUCGGGAGGCGUUACCGACAGAAGAAGCACCGGCUAACUCCGUGCCAGCCGCCGCGGUAAUUC
rnacentral:rRNA from 1 species